rnacentral:lncRNA from 1 species
CUGGAACCGGGGCGCAGGCGGGCGGGGCGGGAGGCUGCAGGGCCCUGCGCGCCGCCGCGCUAGCUGCUGGGUCACAGCCCGGGCCGCGCCGCCGGCUCGACGAGGAAGUGACGACUGCGCCGUCCCGAGAGCAACAAAGUUUGAGUCUGCGGGUCGCGCUCGCCUGCGUCCCGCGCCCCUCGGAGCUGCCCGGCGAUCCAGCGUGCUGAGCUCAACACUGUUGCUGGGACUCCUUGUCUCCUUGUUCUGCCCUGCCUGCUCAGAGCUGCUGCCAGCCAGCUGUGAAGGAACAAUAAAGAAUAAAUCAGCAGAGGAGAAAAGGGCUUACAGCAGCUGCUCAGAGACGGGAGAAAUGCAAGGAAUGUGCCAGCAUUUGGCAGAGGUCCUGCAUCUUGACCAGGCCUGAGGAAGGGCUUGAUGCCGACACAAUGCUUGGUUUCAAAAAAAGGCAUCUAAAGAAGAGGUCAAGCCUGAGACUUAAGAAGAAAAUUUGCAGAAAGAGUUAUUGAGACAAGGCAGUCCCAGCUCCAGUCCUGGACUUGCUGCUGUGCUCUUCUGACCUUUGACCCCUUGGAAUUUUUCAGAGUUGAGCCCCUGUGACCCUGGAUCAAGCUGGGUACCUGCUUCCUGGUCUCUGUGACUCACAGAGUCUUAUAUCUCAGAUGAACAAAUUGAAUGGCCCAGGUGACUGAUGAGUGGCCACAAUGGGUCCUUCUCCCGUGCGUUGAAGGGCCCAGUAGAUUCUCG